GGGGAAACCCAGUGUGUUCCGACACACUAUCGUUAACUGAAUACAUAGGUUAACGAGGCGAACCGGGGGAACUGAAACAUCUAAGUACCCCGAGGAAAAGAAAUCAACCGAGAUUCCCCCAGUAGCGGCGAGCGAACGGGGAGCAGCCCGGAGUCUGAAUCAGCUUGUGUGUUAGUGGAACGGUCUGGAAAGUCCGACGGUACAGGGUGAUAGUCCCGUACACGAAAAUGCACAUGCUGUGAACUCGAAGAGUAGGGCGGGACACGUGGUAUCCUGUCUGAAUAUGGGGGGACCAUCCUCCAAGGCUAAAUACUCCUGACUGACCGAUAGUGAACCAGUACCGUGAGGGAAAGGCGAAAAGAACCCCGGCGAGGGGAGUGAAAAAGAACCUGAAACCGUGUACGUACAAGCAGUGGGAGCACCUUCGGGUGUGACUGCGUACCUUUUGUAUAAUGGGUCAGCGACUUAUAUUCUGUAGCAAGGUUAACCGUAUAGGGGAGCCGAAGGGAAACCGAGUCUUAACUGGGCGUUAAGUUGCAGGGUAUAGACCCGAAACCCGGUGAUCUAGCCAUGGGCAGGUUGAAGGUUGGGUAACACUAACUGGAGGACCGAACCGACUAAUGUUGAAAAAUUAGCGGAUGACCUGUGGCUGGGGGUGAAAGGCCAAUCAAACCGGGAGAUAGCUGGUUCUCCCCGAAAGCUAUUUAGGUAGCGCCUCGUGAACUCAUCUUCGGGGGUAGAGCACUGUUUCGGCUAGGGGGCCAUCCCGGCUUACCAACCCGAUGCAAACUACGAAUACCGAAGAAUGUUAUCACGGGAGACACACGGCGGGUGCUAACGUCCGUCGUGAAGAGGGAAACAACCCAGACCGCCAGCUAAGGUCCCAAAGUCAUGGUUAAGUGGGAAACGAUGUGGGAAGGCACAGACAGCCAGGAUGUUGGCUUAGAAGCAGCCAUCAUUUAAAGAAAGCGUAAUAGCUCACUGGUCGAGUCGGCCUGCGCGGAAGAUGUAACGGGGCUAAACCAUGCACCGAAGCUGCGGCAGCGACGCUUAUGCGUUGUUGGGUAGGGGAGCGUUCUGUAAGCCGUUGAAGGUGUGCUGUGAGGCAUGCUGGAGGUAUCAGAAGUGCGAAUGCUGACAUAAGUAACGAUAAAGCGGGUGAAAAGCCCGCUCGCCGGAAGACCAAGGGUUCCUGUCCAACGUUAAUCGGGGCAGGGUGAGUCGACCCCUAAGGCGAGGCCGAAAGGCGUAGUCGAUGGGAAACAGGUUAAUAUUCCUGUACUUGGUGUUACUGCGAAGGGGGGACGGAGAAGGCUAUGUCAGCCGGGCGACGGUUGUCCCGGUUUAAGCAUGUAGGCGGAGGUUCCAGGUAAAUCCGGUACCUUAUUAACGCUGAGGUGUGAUGACGAGGCACUACGGUGCUGAAGUGAUAAAUGCCCUGCUUCCAGGAAAAGCCUCUAAGCAUCAGGUAACACGAAAUCGUACCCCAAACCGACACAGGUGGUCAGGUAGAGAAUACCAAGGCGCUUGAGAGAACUCGGGUGAAGGAACUAGGCAAAAUGGUGCCGUAACUUCGGGAGAAGGCACGCUGAUAUGUAGGUGAAGCCCCUGCGGGCGGAGCUGAAAUCAGUCGAAGAUACCAGCUGGCUGCAACUGUUUAUUAAAAACACAGCACUGUGCAAACACGAAAGUGGACGUAUACGGUGUGACGCCUGCCCGGUGCCGGAAGGUUAAUUGAUGGGGUUAGCGGCAACGCGAAGCUCUUGAUCGAAGCCCCGGUAAACGGCGGCCGUAACUAUAACGGUCCUAAGGUAGCGAAAUUCCUUGUCGGGUAAGUUCCGACCUGCACGAAUGGCGUAAUGAUGGCCAGGCUGUCUCCACCCGAGACUCAGUGAAAUUGAACUCGCUGUGAAGAUGCAGUGUACCCGCGGCAAGACGGAAAGACCCCGUGAACCUUUACUAUAGCUUGACACUGAACACUGGUCCUUGAUGUGUAGGAUAGGUGGGAGGCUUUGAAGCGUG
rnacentral:rRNA from 1 species